UCCAGACGCAGCUUCACACCCACCUUCCUUCCCUGCUCGGCACCCCAAAAAACCCGUCCCGCUCGGGGCACCCCCCAAGCUCCCCAAAACUUUUCCUUCCCCGAGAGAGGCGCGGAGUUGGGGGUCCCCGCCCUGGGAUUCGCAGAGCCUGUCCGGCGCGGGCAGCAGGGCUGCACUCGAAGUUCUCAGGGCUGGCUCUGAUGAGUCCGCUUCGGUCCCCACUCCCGGGGACACAGUGAGUGGUGCAGUGUGACUGAGAAAAAGCCAGACAGGAAAGGCAGGAAUAUUAACAAGAUCAAGACGCGGAAACACCAGAUGAAGCAGAUGAUCAGGCCUCUUACCACUUCUGGGCAUUCCCCAGCUUUCGGGCUUGUUACCAAUGCAAGAGCAGGUGAGACUUAGAGCCCUUACCUCAUUCCCUUGAAAAUACACC
rnacentral:lncRNA from 1 species